rnacentral:rRNA from 1 species
AGAUUGAACGCUGGCGGCAUGCCUUACACAUGCAAGUCGAACGGCAGCACGGGAGCAAUCCUGGUGGCGAGUGGCGAACGGGUGAGUAAUACAUCGGAACGUGCCCAAUCGUGGGGGGAUAACGCAGCGAAAGCUGUGCUAAUACCGCAUAAGAUCUACGGAUGAAAGCAGGGGAUCGCAAGACCUUGCGCGAAUGGAGCGGCCGAUGGCAGAUUAGGUAGUUGGUGAGGUAAAGGCUCACCAAGCCUUCGAUCUGUAGCUGGUCUGAGAGGACGACCAGCCACACUGGGACUGAGACACGGCCCAGGCUCCUACGGGAGGCAGCAGUGGGGAAUUUUGGACAAUGGGGAAACCUGAUCCAGCCAUCCCGCGUGUGCGAUGAAGGCCUUCGGUGUAAGCACUUUGGCAGGAAGAACGGCGUAGCCCGUAAGUACGGACGUCGACUGACGUACUGCAGAAUAAGACACCGGCUAACUACGUACG